CAUACAGUCGACGCUAAUCCAGGCCUCCAUCAACGUCCACGGGCUCAACAGUUUCCAACACCUGCUCAACCAAGGAGCUGUUUAUGAUCUUAGCCUUUUCGAUGUGACAAGGAGCAGCCCUAACUUUCAAUUCGCUGAUGCGACUGUUGCAAUCAGAUUCACGGAGCAAACCCUCUUCGUCGAGCUAACCGAACCAUGUCCCCUAUACCGACUCAGAUCUUCAGGUCUUCAUGGCAUUUGCUAAUACCAACACAGAGUUACUAGGUUUCUUUCCCGUCAUCUAAUUUCGAAUUGCUGCUACUCUAAACAUGUGAAGCCACAUUAAACUAUCAGUCACCGUUAAGACCUGAAGAUAAAACGUGUAGAUAUUGUUGGAGAAGUGAAGGGGUUUCGAGCCAUCUUCUAUGACAAAACUCAGACAGCUCAGCACAUCAUAGCGAAUAUCAUAAUUGAGAGGUCUUAAUGAAAUCUACUUUCACCUUUGUGUUCGGUUGUUUAUGUUUACUAAAUCUACUUGGUCCUUUAUGUUAGUCUUUUUAGAAUACUAAACACUAGACAGCUAAUUUGUUCCAUUUUAAGUAAUUUUUUAACAUGAGUUUAUGUAGAGUUACUCAUGUCUGCCUUAGUGUUUUAGACAAUCUUCUUAUCCUCCUCGAUGAGAAAUUGGUCGCCUUAGGUGUAGAAUCCAAGGUCUUCCUAGCUACAAACAUCAACUCAAAAUUGGUUAUUUAAAUAUUUCUCUUUGCAUUUAUAAGUUUAUUUCUCAAACUACAGAUAUGUUGGUCCUUUCAUAGUACUCUUCUUUCAGGGAUGUAUUUUCCUUAACGCUACCUCUGGGACUCAGUUCUAUUCCGACGAUGAGAGCUACUAUCACAAGAACUACUUGGAAAGGCACUUUCCCAAUGAAGAAGUAUCGGCCUCCAACUCUACGAAGUAUGGGGGUGUGAGGAAGAUUGAUUCUUUGACUGUCUUGGAGUGAAAUGCAUAUAUGAUUACUCCAAGCCCACAGACAGCUGAAUUCAUAUGCACUGUUAAAGUGUAGGAGAUAUAUACUGAUAAUGGAUGGUCCUACAUAUCAUGUUCUAAGUAUGUACGUAAAUUGCAAAGGAGAUUAUCGUCCUUCACCAGCUUGCAAUAAUGAAAACGCAGUCGGAGUUGUUAGGUGCAUAUUGCAGAUGGUAGUAUCGGAUGCAUCUGACACCGCUGUCUUUGUCGCAUUUGACACUACAAUGACUCAGGUAAUGAAUGUGCAUGUGCGUGCUGCUGAAGUCUCCCAACUCCUGGACGUUGUAUGGAAGACGUACAUGGCAGAGCCCUCAAAAAAUUGUUAGCUGUACCUUAACCUUCCAGUUGAAGCUCACACCAUUCAAUUUCUAUACAAAACAUCAGAGAUGUACUAUCUCAAGCAUUUACGAUCACCACCAGCGCAACCCCUUGAUGAUUUUUCUGCUCAGCAGGGAGGUAACAACCAUCCUGAUAAUGAUAUUCCAGGUGCUGGUUCAAAGGUGAAGAGUUGUACUGAUGUGAAGAACAAUGUUCCCGUGAACAUGAGAUGUUGCAAUAAUGGUGGGGCGUUGAAUGGAUACGCCAGGAAGCUGUUCAGAAUGCGGUCCCUGUUGUUUCUGCCCCAACCUCCGAAUUUCCAUGGGCUACUGAUGACAGACCUACUGGGGAGAAGGCCUGGACUGAUUAGACUCGCAGCUUUUUGAGUCUACUAUCCUUUACUUGACUCUCACCUCUUAGAUGCACUGCAGUCUUUUUUUACUUUUGUUUUUUUAAUGAAUAAUUUCCCUUCAGUUUCUUCUCUGUUAAUGUGUUUUCCACCUAAGCUUCUACUCUGUUCAAUGAGUUUGCAAUGGUUUACGAUGGUUACUAUAAACUUUGUUCGACAAAUCGUUAUAGGCAGAAAAUAUUUAUGUCGCACCA